GGAAAACAGCGAACACAGCAAAUGUGCGUGUUCCUUCGCCUUGUCUCACAGUGGAGAAAAACAUUUGGCCACGACUUGUUGCUAUGCAACCGUAACGCCACCCGCCAGAUUCAGCACCACAACAUGUCUGAAAGAAGAAUGCAUGCGUUGAGUCAAUACCCAUGUCAUCCAAGGCAGAAAGGUCUCAAGGAGGAAGAUCUGUGAGACGUCCAGCCUCUUGUCUCCUCAAAGAAACCAUCCACGAUAGACCUACUUGCUAAAGAGGAGGAAUACAAGUGAGGUUCCUUGCCCAAACAUCUGUGCCCAUUGCCAAACAUCUGAUGUAUAAAUGCAGAGCUGGAGGCAAAAACAGCUGAACUAGUAAGGCAAGCGGAACAGGUUAUGAGUGACCAAAAUGAAGUCCUGUCAAAGCCAAUCUCUUUCCACCUUGAUGUUGACAUUGAGGAUGAGGAGGAGGAUUUCAGGAAUGUGAACAUGCUGGAAUCUUCAGUUAUGAAGUCCACUUCUAAGGUGCAGUAUUCAAUUCAGUUUGAUAUGUAAAAGGUAACAUCUCAGAGACACAAAGGUAAUGUAAUCAGUUAGUAAAACUGGGGGAGAAUUUCAAUUGUAUUUCCUUGAUUCCUCGUGUCCUCUUCCCUCACCUCAUUUUCAAACCCCAUUGGAUGAGAAGGUCAGAGGGGCGGGAUUGCUGACCUUCUCAUCCAAUGGGUUUUGAGAAGGAGGCAAGGAAUCAAGGAAAUGCAAUUAAAAUUCUCCCUAAGUCAUAUUGCUCAGGUAUUGCUCAGGUAAUGACAAAGAAAAGGGUCACAUCAAAAUCCAAUUCACAAAACAGACCUGGAAACAAGAGAAAAACACAGUAAGAAUGUUAUCUUUGUCACAAACGUUUGCACAAAUAUCUAUUGGAAACAUUGGAAGAUUGUGAAAGGUAAUGGCUUAAUGA